ACCAUAUAUACAUUAUCUAAACCAAGGAAACACCUAAUAGAGACCAACCCUAGUGAGAGAUGGCUUCAUUCACUCAUUUCUUCUUGAUAUUCCUCAUUUUCUCAGGUUAAAAUGUUUUCUGUUGAUCCAUUAAAUCUUUAAACCAACUUUGUGAAAAAUGCUAGCUAUUGCAAUCUUUAUGGAAUGCUGUUGUAAUGAAUCUGAAUCUGAAUCUGCAUGUGUUUGUCAUUUUAUUGUUUGUUGACUAAGAUUCUGAAGAAAAAUAAUUGUUAUUUUCUUGCAGCUGUAUCACUGGUGCAUCAUGCAGAAGCACAAAAGAGAUGCCAAGAGCAGUUGUAUCCAAAGGGCUGUACACUUAAUGAUUGGGCAAAAAAUGNNNAAAGGCUGUACACUAAUGAUGUGCAAAAAUGCUUGACAAGCACAAGCAGAUGAGCGGGUAUGCAUCCAAACAGAAGCAUGACAGACUAUGCUUGCUACUGCAUUGGAACUGCUAGCAUCAUCUCUUUGGUUUUUGUUUCUAAUGAGCAAAUGAAUAAAAACAAGUCCCUCCAGUUCAGAUGUUGAA
rnacentral:lncRNA from 1 species